UGCAUUAGCUAGUUGGUAAGGUAACGGCUUACCAAGGCAACGAUGCAUAGCCGACCUGAGAGGGUGAUCGGCCACACUGGAACUGAGACACGGUCCAGACUCCUACGGGAGGCAGCAGUAGGGAAUCUUCCGCAAUGGGCGAAAGCCUGACGGAGCAACGCCGCGUGAGUGAUGAAGGUCUUCGGAUCGUAAAACUCUGUUAUUAGGGAAGAACAUAUGUGUAAGUAACUGUGCACAUCUUGACGGUACCUAAUCAGAAAGCCACGGCUAACUACGUGCCAGCAGCCGCGGUAAUACGUAGGUGGCAAGCGUUAUCCGGAAUUAUUGGGCGUAAAGCGCGCGUAGGCGGUUUUUUAAGUCUGAUGUGAAAGCCCACGGCUCAACCGUGGAGGGUCAUUGGAAACUGGAAAACUUGAGUGCAGAAGAGGAAAGUGGAAUUCCAUGUGUAGCGGUGAAAUGCGCAGAGAUAUGGAGGAACACCAGUGGCGAAGGC
rnacentral:rRNA from 1 species